CCUACGGGUGACAGCAGUGAGGAAUAUUGGUCAAUGGGCGGGAGCCAGAACCAGCCAAGUCGCGUGAGGGAAGACGGUCCUAUGGAUUGUAAACUUCUUUUGUGCGGGAGCAAUAAUGGUCACGUGUGGCCAGACGAGAGUACCGUACGAAUAAGCAUCGGCUAACUCCGUGCCAGCAGCCGCGGUAAUACGGGGGAUGCAAGCGUUAUCCGGAUUUAUUGGGUUUAAAGGGUGCGUAGGCUGUGAGGUAAGUCAGCGGUGAAAUGCCCCCGCUCAACGGGGUGAAGUGCCAUUGAUACUGCCUUGCUGGAAUGCGGAUGCAGUGGGAGGAAUGUGUGGUGUAGCGGUGAAAUGCUUAGAUAUCACGAAGAACUCCGAUUGCGAAGGCAGCUUACUAAACUGCCACUGACAUUGAUGCUCGAAAGUGUGGGUAUCAAACAGGAUUAGAUACCCCAGUAGUC
rnacentral:rRNA from 1 species